rnacentral:rRNA from 1 species
ACGCUUCUUUUUCCACCGGAGCUUGCUCCACCGGAAAAAAAGAGUGGCGAACGGGUGAGUAACACGUGGGUAACCUGCCCAUCAGAAGGGGAUAACACUUGGAAACAGGUGCUAAUACCGUAUAACAAUCGAAACCGCAUGGUUUUGAUUUGAAAGGCUCUUUCGGGUGUCGCUGAUGGAUGGACCCGCGGUGCAUUAGCUAGUUGGUGAGGUAACGGCUCACCAGGGCCACGAUGCAUACCCGACCUGAGAGGGUGAUCGGCCACUUUGGGACUGACACACGGCCCACACUCCUACGGGAGGCAGCAGUAGGGAAUCUUCGGCAAUGGACGAAAGUCUGACCGAACAACGCCGCGUGAGUGAAGAAUGUUUUCGGAUCGUAAAACUCUGUUGUUAGAAAAAAACAAGGAUGAGAGUAACUGUUCAUCCCUUGACGGUAUCUAACCAAAAAGCCACGGCUAACUACGUGCCAGCAGCCGCGGUAAUACGUAUGUGGCAAGCGUUGUCCGGAUUUAUUGGGCGUAAAGCGAGCGCAGGCGGUUUCUUAAGUCUGAUGUGAAACCCCCCGGCUCAACCGGGGAGGGUCAUUGGAAACUGGGAGACUUGAGUGCAGAAGAAGAGAGUGGAAUUCCAUGUGUAGCGGUGAAAUGCGUAUAUAUAUGGAGGAACACCAGUGGCGAAGGCGGCUCUCUGGUCUGUAACUGACGCUGAGGCUCGAAAGCGUGGGGAGCAAACAGAGAUUAUAUACCCUGGUACUCCACGCCAUAAACGAUGAGUGCUAUGUGUUGGAGGGUUUCCGCCCUUCAGUGCUGCAUCUAACGCAUUAAGCACUCCGCCUGGAGAGUACGACCGCGGGGUUGACACUCAAAGGAAUUGACGGGGGGCCCGCACAAGCGGUGGUAGCAUGUGG